UAAAAGCGGCUAUCUAACAUUAGCUAAUAUUUAAUUAAGCCAAUUAGCUUACAUUAGCUCGUAUUUAAUUAAUUGAGAAUGGCAAAAAUGGCAGUGAGGAUGGAAAUAUGAUGACUUGUGCAGCUUCGCCGUGUGCGUACGAGAUGUUUACCACCUUAAACAUUGCCUUCCUGAAAGAAAAAGAAAAAACGGAAUGCUGAGCGAAGCUUAAUUACAAACGUGUGUUGCCAGCAACCGUCGCACAGGCAUCCGUACACACACACACACACACACACACGCGCACGCAGAGAGUAUGGAGGAAGUGAUUGUGGACAGACAGCUAUAGAAACGCUGUGUGACUGGAACGCUGUUGCACUGUGAUUGCUGCAGUAUAUUAUGGCUGGACCUCUGCAAGAUCAAUGCUCUGAAAAACAGAGUAUUCAGCUUCCUGUUCUUGGAGCACCACAGUAUGGAUAGAGAGAGGAGGGGGACAGAGAGAGAGAGAGAGAGAGCUGGAGGAGGAGGAACGGAAGUAAGAGAAGAAGAGGAGGGGUGUGUGGAUUCAUGCACUGCUGUCUUCAGUAAAUCAAUCUGGCCGUUUGCGUCUCCUCCUCCUCCCCCCUCGUACACGGGCCAGGCUUGUAGCGGGUGAACGCCACAAAACAGAGCAGAUGAGAGUGAGAGAAACACACAGAGGGGGGAAAAAACGCAACCAGAGAGGGAGGGAGGGGGUGAAAAGAAAGAACAAGCCAAUAUUGUUAAAGGGCACUGAAAGCUGCGAAAGAGACAAAGCCGGAAGGCCUGCAGUGUCUCUGAAUACACACUUGAACUCCUGGAGUGUAAUGCAGAAACAAAGCAAAGAAACCCUACAGUAUAAUAACUACAGACAAUAAAAGCUCCCGAAAGGAGCAACAGCUUAAUUGGAGCGGCGUUUGCAGUUAAUUUUACGAAGUGUUUAAACAUUAUUAAAGUAUUAAAUUACAAAGACUGAAGCAAUCAAAAUCUCCAAUAACAGGACUGCUCAAAAUGGUGGCGAUUACAGUAUAAUCACAAUUCCACUGCCAUUCAUUCCCCAGUUGAAUAGGGCCAUGGAGGGGAGCUUUGAUGAUGCCCAUGUUCCCUAAAUUGAUACUUUCAUGCCCCUUUCACAUAUGCACUUUUUUUUUUUUUUUUGCAGGAAUAUUAAGAUAAUUAAUCAGCAAAAAGUUAAAUGUAAAUGCAACCCAGAACCAAGAUUCCUGGAAGACUGACACAAGAAUUGAGACCUACAUCAAAGUGAUCAGGAGGGCUGACAUGUGAAAUGAGGAAAAAAUUCUUCAUCCACUGAAUAGCACAUCCCAGGAUUUGGUCAUUUAUGAGUGAAGCACCAGCAGGUUCUGAUAAUAUGGCAUAAAUGUAGAGAUGACUCAGGUAAGAAACAAUCUGACUAAAAGUGUAUAAAAAUAUGGAUGUAUUGACACUGAUACCGGACUUGCUUAUCAGUCCAAUACUGUGCUCAUAUACAAAACAUUACAGUGCAUUGAAAGGAUGUUCAGUAUGAGCAUACUGUGAAGAAGAGUGAGAAGAACAGCUUUUAUGAUUACAGUAUCAGGUAAGUACAAAUCUACAGUAUCUAGGAGAGAUUAUCCACUAAAGUGAAAAUGAGUCAUGGGAAUAAACUGUUCUAGAAAGUGUUUUGUCCAUGUGAGACCAUCCACAACAGCAGAAGAGAAGAGAAAGUGCAAAAGCGCCAAGCGGAAGUAGAGCAUCAGGUUCAGCAAAAAUGCCUUCAAAGCUAAUGAAAUGAAAGGUUUUUAUGUAUGAAAUUAAUUAUUAUAUCAGUAAGUAAGCGUUUGCUAGUUCUUCUAUCUCUGCAGGUAAAAUCCCAAACAGCUUAGAGAACUUGUUUAAUCAAAAACAUGGUCUAUAAAAUAAUCCCAUUCAAUUUUAUAGGACUUUUUAAUAAUAAAUAUCCAGAUGGAAAUUUAAAAUCACCACUUAUCACUGUUUCAAUUCAUUUCACAUAUGACUUUGAAGUUUUCUUGAUAUUUGAUGAUAAUGGUGUAGAAAACAAACCCUUCCUACACUAAGUUUUGUUUUGUUUUUUCCAUAUCCGCAAUUUUCUUAGAUUUAUCAUUGUCUUUUUUUGAGCUAACCAUGAUAAGAAGAACAAUUGUUAUUAUGGUCUAAAGCUAUUUCAAAGGCUCUGGGACUCCAAAGAACCACAGUGAGAGCCAUUAUCUCCAAAUGGAAAAACUCGGCACACUAGUCAACCUUUCCCAGAAGUGGCCGACCUUCCAAAAUUCCUCCAGGAACACAACAACGACUCAUCCAAGAAGUCAAAAAAGAGCCAAGGACAACAUUAAAUGACUUACAGGCCUCUCUUGCAUCAAUAAAGGUUCCUGACUCCACUAUCAGAAAGACACUGGGAAAAAAUGGCAUCCAUGGAAGAGUGGCGAGGUGAAAACCACUGCUAACCCAGAAGAACAGUAAGGCUCGUCUGAAUUUUGCCAAAACACACCUUGAUGAUCCUCAAACCUUUUUGAGUCGUAAGUUGAACUGUUUGGAAGACAGGGGUCCCGUUACAUCUGGCGUAAACCAAACACAGAAUCCCACAAAAAGAACAUCAUGCCUACGCUCAAGCAUGGUGGUGGAAGUGUGAUGGUGUGGGGAUGCUUUGCUACUUCAGGACCUGGACAACUUGCAAUAAUUGAGGGAAACAUGAAUUCUGCUCUCUGCCAGAAAAUCCUAAAGGAGAAUGUCCGGUCUUCAGUCCGUAAGUUGAAACUCAAGCACAACUGGAUUCAUGUAGCAAGACAAUGAUCCAACGCAUUAGUGUCCUUAAAAAAUUAAAGGUUUUGGAGUGACUUGAACCAAGUGAGAUGCUGUAGCAGAACCUUAAACAGGCAGUUCAUGCUUGAAAACAGUGUGGCUCAAAAAUAUAAUAAAUAAAUAAAUAAAUAAAUUAAAACCGCAUUGUGUGUUUACUCGGGUUGUGUUUAAUUUAUGCUGUAUUUUGUUUGAAGAUCUAAAGCUAUUUAGUAUGAGAUAUACACAAAAAAAACAGAAGAAAUCAGGCUUUCAUCACUUUUUCACAGCACUGUACAUUUCUCUGCAAAAAGUCGAUUUAAUCAAAAAAAUAAUAAUAAUUCUGACACACCGAUGCAACAAGUAUGAAAUAAACAUUACAAGACAUUUACAAUAAAAAAGGAGGGUGCAUACAACUUUUGCACAAUACAAUACAUCAUAUAUUGUGAAAAUGCCUUCAAGUAUUGUUAUAAGAUAUUUUGCCAUAUCUGCCUUUCCUAGGUUAGGAGAGUAUUCUGAUAUGAAAAUUUAAUAUCGCCACAUGACUAGAAACGAGUGUGUGAAGGACGGAGUCGGGUAGAUUGAGGGUGGAAUCUGGGUUUACACCCUCAGAGGUGGUGAAGGGAGGAUCUGUCUUGGUGCCAUUCAGGCUAGAAGCCAUGGGAGAGAGAUGGGGAGAAAGGGAGAAAUAGAGAGAUGGGAAAACAGGAAGAGAGAGAUGGAGAGAGAGAGAGAUGGAGGUAGUCCCUCUUCAGCUCAGCAGCCAGAUGGUCUGGUUGCCACAGCAGCAUUUUACCCACCAGGCGGUGCUUUGAUACUUCUCUGUGUGUGCGUGUGUGUGUGUGUGUGUGUGUGUGUGUGUGUGUGUGUGUGUGUGUGUGUGUGUGUGUGUGUGUGUGUGUGUGUGUGUAAUAUGUCCCUCUGCGAUUGUGCCUUUACAGUCACUGCUGCUCAGCAGCAUGUGUCACAGCACUGUGUGUGUAUGCACGCAGGUGUGUGUUUGUGUGUGUGUGUGUGUGUGUGUGUGUGUGUGUGUGUGUGUGUGUGUGUGUCUUCAUGAUUGUUUUGGCACUCCUCUGAUGAAAACAAGUGGCCCACACCUGCUAAACAGCAUUCAUUACCGUACACAACGGAGAGCUGGGGAGUAGGAGGAAAGAGACAGUGGCAUGAAUGACAACAAAGAGAAAGCUUGAGAGAGCACAGAAAACAUGGAGGAGGUGAGACGCAAGAGACGCAUUCAGCUAGGCCUUUUCAACCAACGGUCCGUGGGCCCAAUAUCGCCCAUUUUAGCUUUUUUAUGGCCCACAAAAGUGUGCAGGUUAAUCAGUAAUAACACAUCUACUGUAUAAGUAAAUCAUCAAAUAAAGAUCACAUGUGGGCAGUAGGGGCGUGUAUCUCUCCACCCGAGCUGAGCACUUCAAUACCUCUUCACGAAGGAGACAUUGAAAGCAGCAGACUAUUCCAUUUGAUGUGAUUUAGAGAGGUUUUGGUACGAUAUGAUGUAGCCAAUUGCAAUGUGAUGAGACAUGAUUCCGUGCUGUAAGAACAGUUCAGCUUGGACUGACAGGCACAGAGGCCACACCUCCUUCACUAAAACUAAGGCACAGAUGUCAUGCCUCCAUCACUGGUAGUGAAAGAUUCUAAGGUCACUGACUCCUUCACUGGUACUGACAGGCACAAAGGCCACACAUCCUUCACUGAUAUUGAGAGGCACAAAGGCCACACCUACUUCACUGAGACUGACAGGCACAAAGACCACAACUCUUUCACUGAGACUGACAGGCACAAAGACCACACCUCCUUCAAUGAGACUGACGGGCACAAAGGCCACACCUCUUUCACUGAGACUGACAGGGACAAAGGACACACCUCCUUCACUGAGACUGACGGGCACAAAGGCCACACCCUUUUCACUGUGUCUGACAGUACAGAGGACACACCUCAUUCACUGAGACUGACGGGCACAAAGGCCACACCUCCUUCACUGAGACUGACGGGCACAAAGGCCACACCUCCUUCACUGUGUCUGACAGUACAGAGGCCACACCUCUUUCACUGAGACUGACGGACACAAAGGCCACACCUCCUUCACUGAGACUGACGGGCACAAAGGCCACACCCCCUUCACUGUGUCUGACAGUACAGAGGACACACCUCAUUCACUGAGACUGACGGGCACAAAGGCCACACCUUCACCGUGUCUGACAGGUAUGGAGGCCACACCUCCUUCACUGGGACUUACAGGCUCAAAGCAACAUGGAGGUAGCGUGAGAAAGAGAAAGGAAAUGAAUUUGAUAAUAUUUGAUAUUUCGAAAUAAUACAUAACCUUUAUAUAGAAAAAAGAUUGCAUGUGGUAUUAAACUUCACAAAUGCAGCGACCGCUGUCCCUGAACAUUUCCCAAAUACACAUUGUUUAUAUAGUUUAAAUAGUUCAAAAUAUCAGUGCCAGUUAACAUUGGUGCUGUGUUCCACUCCAAGCUAAAAAGAUGGG